rnacentral:rRNA from 1 species
GACGAACGCUGGCGGCGUGCUUAACACAUGCAAGUCGAACGGAAAGGCCCUGCUUUUGUGGGGUGCUCGAGUGGCGAACGGGUGAGUAACAAGUGAGUAACCUGCCCUUGACUUUGGGAUAACUUCAGGAAACUGGGGCUAAUACCGGAUAGGAGCUCCUGCUGCAUGGUGGGGGUUGGAAAGUUUGGGCGGUUGGGGAUGGACUCGCGGCUUAUCAGCUUGUUGGUGGGGUAUUGGCUUACCAAGGGUUUGACGGGUAGCCGGCCGGAGAGGGGGACCGGCCACAUUGGGACUGAGAUAGGGCCCAGACUCCAACGGGGGCCAGCAUGGGGGAAUAUGGCCCAAUGGGCGGAAGCCGGAUGCAGCAACGCCGCGGGCGGGAUGACGGCUUUCGGGUGUAAAACCGCUUUCGCCUGUGACGAAGCGUGAGUGACGGUAAUGGGUAAAGAAGCACCGGCUAACUACGUG